GAUGAACGCUGGCGGCGUGCCUAAUACAUGCAAGUCGAGCGAACAGAUGAGGAGCUUGCUCCUCUGACGUUAGCGGCGGACGGGUGAGUAACACGUGGAUAACCUACCUAUAAGACUGGGAUAACUUCGGGAAACCGGAGCUAAUACCGGAUAAUAUAUUGAACCGCAUGGUUCAAUAGUGAAAGACGGUUUUGCUGUCACUUAUAGAUGGAUCCGCGCCGCAUUAGCUAGUUGGUAAGGUAACGGCUUACCAAGGCAACGAUGCGUAGCCGACCUGAGAGGGUGAUCGGCCACACUGGAACUGAGACACGGUCCAGACUCCUACGGGAGGCAGCAGUAGGGAAUCUUCCGCAAUGGGCGAAAGCCUGACGGAGCAACGCCGCGUGAGUGAUGAAGGUCUUCGGAUCGUAAAACUCUGUUAUUAGGGAAGAACAAAUGUGUAAGUAACAAUGCACGUCUUGACGGUACCUAAUCAGAAAGCCACGGCUAACUACGUG
rnacentral:rRNA from 1 species